rnacentral:ncRNA from 1 species
UGGGGGGUUGGAGAAGUAUCCCUUGCCUGUAGUUAUACGGGUUUAGAUGAUAAUUCAAUUGCUAUUUGCUAUACAAUGGGUUUGGCUGGGGCGGCACAUCUGUGAAAUAAUAAUGCAGGUGUCCUAAGGCAGGUUCAAUGAUAAGAGAAAUCUCAUGUUGACCAAAAGGGGAAAAGCUUGCUUCAUUUUGAUUUUCAGUACGAAUACAAACUGUGAAAGCAUGGCCUAGAGGUGUCAGAAAAGUUACCACAGGGAUAAUUGGCUUGUGGCAGCCAAGCGUUCAUAGCGACGUUGCAUUUUGAUCCUUCGAUGUCGGCUCUUCCUAUCACUGAGACGCAGAAGUCUCAAAGUGUCGGAUCGUUCACCCGCCAAUAGGGAACCUGAGCUGGGUUUAGACCGUCGUGAGACAGGUUAGCUUUACCCUACUGAUAAAUUCGAUACUGCGACAGUAAUCCAACUUAGUACGAGAGGGACAGUUGGUUCAGAUACUUGGUUAAUGCGGCUAGCUGAAAAGCUAAUGCCGCGACGCUACCAUCUGUUGGAUUAUGACUGAGCGCCUCUAAGUCAGAAUCCGCCUACACACAGUUUGCUUUCC